UUUUAUUACAAAUAAUAUCAAAAAUAAAUAUAAUAUAUAUACACACAGUAGGACUUUGAGGUGUUCUAAACCUAUACUUAGCAAUCUAAACGUAUAUUUUAUGGAAUUACAAGAGAAAUUAAAAACGACUUCUGGCGCACCAACAAAACAAAAAUUAUUGCCAGAAAUUACCCCUAAAGAUGAUUGGAGCAAAAGUUGAAAAAUGUUCCAGACAAAAAAAAAACAUUUAUACACACUUAUUACUUAGGAUUCAUAAAUUAUAUUUUUUAAUUUUUUUUGUAUAUAAUAGUCACCUGAAUAAUUAAUAUAGCAUUAAAAAAGUAUCUUAUUGAUGCAAUUGAGUUUAUUGUGUCAGCUAUUACUGAGAAGCAACCAUUUGGAUAAUAUUUUGUUAUGUCUGUUUGUUCACAAUCAGUGAAUGCAUUGCAAAUAGUAUUAGGUAGGCAACAACUACUAGGUGCAGCUGGUACUAUAAAUUUCCCAUUUUCCUGUGUAUAUCUUUAAACAAGUUUUAUUAUAAUUCUGAUUGGAUAUUUACACACAUUUUUUACUUUUGUAGUAGAUAAAACGAAGAUAAAAUUGGUGAUGCCCAAGGUGUUUGGAACCAAUCAGUACUUUGCGAGCUACCGCAACAAAAAUAGUGUUGUUGAAAUUGAUCCCAAAAUGUUCGCCACGCUGUAUUUGUUAAAUAUUUACCAAGACUAGUGUCUAAGAUGUAUUUUACUUCUUCAGAGACUGCUUGUAGGGUAUAUUGUAAACUAGCACAAAAACAUAAGAGAACAAUGACUUCUACUGCUGCUACUAUCAUAUACGACUUUUGGAUUACAUUAUGUUCUGGUGAUGAAUUUUUCCUACAAAAAAUAUGUUGCUUGUUAUAAUUGUAAUUAAAUACAUUGUUAAAUUAUUUUAUAAAUUAAAAAAAGAAUUUUAAUAGUUAAAUUAUGAUUUUUGACAUAGUACUUG